rnacentral:rRNA from 1 species
UACGAAGGGGGCUAGCGUUGCUCGGAUUGACUGGGCGUAAAGGGCGCGUAGGCGGUUCGUACAGUCAGACGUGAAAUUCCUGGGCUCAACCUGGGGGCUGCGUUUGAUACGUGCGGACUUGAGUGCGGAAGAGGGUCGUGGAAUUCCCAGUGUAGAGGUGAAAUUCGUAGAUAUCGGGAGGAACACCAGUGGCGAAGGCGAUCAUCUGGGGUUGUUCUGACACUGAGGAGCGAAAGCUAGGGGAGCAAACGGG